CCCGGCUUAGCAAUGAAUUACACUGACAGAGCCAGGCACAAUCAACAACAACAACGACGCUUUGACAAAUGGCGACCGCUGAUUACUUUCACGGAAUGGAUGUAACUGAAUGAAAAAUACUAACUCAUUCUGAUUGUAUUGGAAUUAGUUUUUAUGGUUGAACGUCACGCGCACACAUUCUGAGGGCCGAAUAUAAAUAUCGGCCUUAGGGCCGAAUAUUUAUAAUGACCCCGCAAUGGUGAUAAUGGCAUGAACAACUGUACAAAUGUGUUACUAUAUAUAGUUAGUAUAGUUGCCAGUUGGGGUUGAAGAUCUUACCAUAUAGAGAGGAAUCCAAAGACGUAUGUGAGAUAGACGUUGAUGCGGCACACGGCGGGAAGGUGAUUUACGGGGUAUCCCAGCGACUCAAUCCAGACC